UACGUAGGGGGCUAGCGUUGUCCGGAUUUAUUGGGCGUAAAGAGCGCGUAGGCGGCCCAGUAAGUCCGCUCUGAAAAGUCAGGGGCUCAACCCCUGAAUGCGGGUGGAUACUGCUGGGCUAGACCGGAAGAGGCGAGUGGAAUUCCUGGUGUAGCGGUGAAAUGCGCAGAUAUCAGGAGGAACACCGAUGGCGAAGGCAGGCU
rnacentral:rRNA from 1 species